UACGGCGACCAUAGCGGAGGGGUCACACCCGGACUCGUUUCGAUCCCGGAAGUAAAGUCCUCCAGCGAUUUGAACUGUACUGUGGGAACCCCCAUGGGAAAUUCAUGACGUCGCCGGCC
rnacentral:rRNA from 1 species